rnacentral:lncRNA from 1 species
AAAUAUUCAUCGUUCUCUCUAAAAUUCAUUCAUCGCAAAGUCCUUUUGAUAGCUCUUUUAUUCUUUAAUAUGAGUUAUUGUUUUGGAGAGGCUUAGAUAGGAUUCAAUGUUGCAGGGUUCUCGUUUAUAGAGAAAUGAAGGGAUUUCAAUUGCAAACUGUCGAAGGAAAACAAUUGAGUUAUUUUCAACUUGACAGGGAUUAUAGGGUUUUAGGUUUCAGAUCUUCAAGCUGUGAAGGGGAAAAUUCAUCUAGGAUUGAAGAUUCAAGAUUGAAUUAUUGUUAUUUUAAUUUGUAGAUCAAGAUCAAACUUUUGAAGGAUUUAAAAUUUUGGAGUUUUCAAGAUUCAACAGAAAUUGAAGGCAUAUUGUUCAUAUAGUGUCAGAAUCAUAGAGCAAAGGAGUUUUUGGUUGUAAUCAAAAUAUUCAUUCAAUUAUAUUGAAAAUAGAAGCAACUUUAUCACAUAUUGUGAGAGGACUAGAGUAGACAACAAACGAAGAUAAAAAUGGUUGAACUAAUAUAAAAAUCCGACAUCAGUUUUUUUAAUCUUAAUCUCUUUAAUUUCUAUAAUUUUCAUUGAUGUAGUUUUGUGGAUCUUUGAUAAGAAUUUUUAUAUUUUUGAUUGAGGUUCAUUUUUUUUUUUUUUUUUUUUUUUUUUUUUUUUUUUUUUUUUUUUUUUUU